rnacentral:rRNA from 1 species
UACGGGGGGGGUAAGCGUUGUUCGGAAUUACUGGGCGUAAAGGGCUCGUAGGCGGCCAACUAAGUCAUACGUGAAAUCCCUCAGCUUAACUGGGGAACUGCGUGUGAUACUGGAUGGCUUGGAUGUGGGAGAGGGAUGCGGAAUUCCAGGUGUAGCGGUGAAAUGCGUAGAUAUCGGGAGGAACACCAGUGGCGAAGGCGCGUUUCUGGCCGGUUCCUGACGCUGAGGCGCGAAAGCUAGGGGAGCAAACGGG